GAAGCUUCUACUUAUAGUCAACACCCCAAUAGUAGCAUACACUAUUCACUUCAGGCAGCUCGAAAUAUGAUAUCUUUCGCUGGAGCCCUCUGAAUAUCCGUUUGAGCUCAAAUUUGACAGUCAUGUUCGGUUUUGCUUAACUUAACGAAAAAAAUUUUAAUCCUUCAGUUUCGACUCCGUUUGGUCACCGAAAGCUGUACCGAACUGUAAAUUUUAUCAGAUAACUGUCGGAUUUUAUUUUCCACCUUCCGGGUGUCAGAAUGGGCUGAAACUUUAAAUAUAGCCUCAUAAAAAGAAUUUUAACUUAUCCUCCAGUUUUCAUAAUUUUCUGACACUGUGUAUUUUCUGCUAAUUUAUCUGCCUCGUUUCUCACAGAAAAUUCUAAAUCUUCUAUUUUUACUUCAAUUUCAGCACAGGUCAUUCCCAACCUAUAUUUCACUUCUCUAAAUCCAAUAAAAAUAGUAUCUCAUACUAUUUUUAUUUAUUUUUACUUUUACAUUUAAAAUCUGAUAUGUUACAUUCCACCGCAACCUUACCGGAACCAUUUAAAUGUACACCGUAACUUCAUAGUUUUAGAAGUCCGGUACCUUACAUCCUCCCCUCCUUAAAAAGAGUUUCGUCCUCAAAACUCAAAUCUCAUCUCAAUUCGAGUUUUCGAGCAUCUGAAGGUAACAAUGCACUUUUGCACUCCGGAGUGGCCUUUUUCUUAUCGGAACUAUCCAAAGGCCCACUACAGAGGAUAUGAGACCAAAUUCACUCACAUUUGCUAAGCACAACACCAAAAGUGCAUUACGGUUCCACAAGUCUUGGUGGCAGCGUAAGUCGACACUUGACAACUCUAUACGCUCCAACACUACUUGCUACCGAAUCUAGGGAAUAUACUUCGAUUCGAUCACUGGCAUUGCCUAGAAGCAAUAUCAUUGGUGCAUCGACCCAUCGCA
rnacentral:lncRNA from 1 species